rnacentral:lncRNA from 1 species
GAAGUAAUGAAAUGGUAUUGGGGUUUUAAGGUAAGUGGUACACUGUUCAGCUAAAAUAGUGAAAAUAUCUUUAAUCAACAUGAUUACAUUUGACAUGAUCCCUUAGUACUGACUUUUCAAAACUCACAACCUCUGGAUUUAGAGUACGCUGAUCUUUCUGCUGUGCCAGAAAGUCUGUAGCAUUCUCAGAAGUCCCCGACAGAUUCAUGACCUAUAAUACAUCUCUGCACUUAGCAAAAGAGUGUCAUCUGCACUGCUAUUUUAGUCAUCAGUUAAUCUGACUUUUCUCUCAUCAUUGAUUUAAUUGACUUAUUUCAGUAAUUUGAGGGUUUUCUGUGUAGUCUAAUGUUGGUGAGACAUAUUAUUCUGUUUCAAUGUUACUCCUGAAUAACUAUGAUAAAUAUAAUCGUUUUUUGUGUGUGUGUGUAUUUGUAACAAUGCUGAGAUUUACUUUGAAGUCCAAAGUUUGGGAACACAGGUGAAAUCAGUCAUUGACACAGACAUGGUGGCGUAGCAGGAAGAUCUGAAUGCUGUGAACCAAGAGGUUGGCAUCACCUGUGAAAUCUCACGUGAAAAAUAUCCAUUGUUCCAAAACCACAUGGUUUCACGUGUGAAAUUUCAGAUGUGAAAUAAAAUGCGCAAACCGUGAAAUCAUGUCAUUUUUCCAUAAGCGGAAGAUGUAUGAUUACCAUCCCCGUGAGCGUACCACCCUCCUUCAGGCCAUGGAAGACGCAUGCAAUGAUUUCAAUCCGGACCUAUUUAGACCAAAAGGUUUCUCCCAAGGUACAUGAACAAUGAGGAUAUUUACUGCCGUUUCGAUCAAAACCUAUGGCCA